rnacentral:rRNA from 1 species
GACGAACGCUGGCGGCGUGCUUAACACAUGCAAGUCGAACGAAGCGGCGGACGGGUGAGUAACGCGUAAUCAACCUGCUCUUCAGAGGGGGACAACAGUUGGAAACGACUGCUAAUACCGCAUACUGAAGAAGGGGUUUGCGUCUGAUUAGCUAGUUGGAGGGGUAACGGCCCACCAAGGCGAUGAUCAGUAACCGGUCUGGGAAGAUGGACGGCCAAAUUGGGACUGGGACACGGCCCAGGCUCCUACGGGAGGCAGCAGUGGGGAAACUUCCGCAAUGGACGGAAGUCUGACGGAGCAACGCCGCGUGAGUGAUGACAGCCUUCGGGUUGUAAAGCUCUGUUAAGCGGGACGCGGUACCGGAAUAGAAAGCCACGGCUAACUACGUGCCAGCAGCCGCGGUAAUUC